UACGUAGGGUGCGAGCGUUGUCCGGAAUUAUUGGGCGUAAAGAGCUCGUAGGCGGUCUGUCGCGUCGGUCGUGAAAACUUGGGGCUUAACCCUGAGCUUGCGGUCGAUACGGGCAUGACUGGAGUUCGGUAGGGGAGACUGGAAUUCCUGGUGUAGCGGUGAAAUGCGUAGAGAUGUGGAGGAACACCGGUGGCGAAGGCGGCUCGCUGGGCCAGAUCCGACACUCAUCCGCGAAAGCGUGGGGAGCAAACAGG
rnacentral:rRNA from 1 species